rnacentral:rRNA from 1 species
GUGAGGAGAAAGAUCCCUUAUAAUAAUAAAGAAAGUUAAGUUUCGCUCUUAGAAGUUUGUAUCUCGUGUGUGGUAGUAGUUAGGAUUAAAAGCCUAACUAGCUAUACGCACGUAGUCGUAACUGAAAGGUUGAUCGACCACAGUGGGCCUGAAGAAAGCCCAUGACGAUUGUCACAGCAGUGAGGAAUAUUGGUCAAUAGCCUAACGGCUGAACCAGCAACUUGGAGGAAUGUAUAGCAAUAGCUACUUGCAUCUUUGUAAAUAUGAUGCAAGAUCGACUAUGUCGAAUAAAAUUCUAGGUAGAAUUAUGAUAAUGACAUUGUCUGCCUAUGUGUCUUGACCAAAUUACGUGCCAGCCGUCGCGGUAAUACGUAGAAGACUAGUGUUAUUCAUGUUUAAUCGGUUUAAAGGGUACCUAGACGGUAAAUCAAGCCUACAAAUAAAAGAAAUGAAGGGACUAAUUUGCUAGAGUUACUUGUGAGGGGGUAUUAAAGUACUGCUGGUGUAGAGAUGAAAUUCUGUCAUACCUCUUUUCAAUAGAAAAAUAAUGGCACAGGUAUAGGCGAAGGCAUCCCCUUAUGUGAUAACUGACGUUGAGGGACGAAGGCUUUGUGUAGCGAACAGGAUUAGAUACCCCAGUAGUCAAAGCAGAAAAUGAUGAAUGUCAUAGAUUAGAUAAAUAAGUUUAUUCUAUAAAUGAAAGUGUAAGCAUUCCACCUCAAGAGUAAUUUGGCAACAUUGGAACUGAAAUCAUUAGACCGUUUCUGAAACCAGUAGUGAAGUAUGUUGUUUAAUUUGAUGAUCCGCAAAAAACCUUACCACAAUUUGAAUAUUUAUAUUUUUUUUAUUGUUUUAUUUUUAAUUUUCUUAUGGUUUUCUACUUGAUGAUAAAUAAAAUCAAGACAAGAAAAUCAAGAAUAAAAUUAAAAAAAAAGGCAAUAAGAUAUAUUUACAAGCGUUGCACGGCUGUCUUCAGUUAAUGUCGCGAGACUCUGGUUAGUUCCAUGAAAUUAACGUAAACCCUUACUUUAUUUUUAUAUAGAGUAGUUCCCCGCUAUAUUGGAUAUGAUAACAGGGACUAAGACAAG